UGGGCAAACCUGGGAGACUCCGUUUUUCUAUUUAUCCGCAGAGUAGGUCCAGCCUGGGUAACAGCAGUGCAAGCAUCCCAAAACCAAUCUCCAAAGUGCCUCAGUUCUGAUGUAGGAGGAUCACCUUUGGGGUGAAUGAGCAAUUUAAUCUCCAUUUAGUUUCUUGUCUGUUCUGAA
rnacentral:sRNA from 1 species